rnacentral:lncRNA from 1 species
CGUUAACGAGAAUAACGAUCUAGGUGCACCUAGUUAUAUGAUAUCAAGGAGAAAAGGGCUAUCCGUUAGAUGGAGCCGCCCCUAAGUGAAAGGCCGCUCUUAGGAGGAAAAUGCUAUCAACGAGAUGGAGCCGUCUCUUGAUUCUAUCGUAAAAAUUUCUUUUAUUUGAUUGGAUGAGGAUGCAUUUUCGUAAUCGAGGAGAAAAGGGAUAUCCGUUAGAUGGAGCCGCCCCUAAGUGAAAGGCCGCUCUUAGGAGGAAAGGGCUAUCAACGAGAUGGAGCCGUCUCUCGAUUCUUUCGUAACGAAUUUUUUAUUUGAUUGGAUUUCUAUAUUUUUCUUAUUUCAAUUUCAAACCCUAUAAUGAUUUGAAUCGAAUAUUAUUUAUAUUACCAAAUUACUACUUUACAAGAAUUGUUACAAGCUUUCUAAAAAUCAAAUGCUCGUGCCUUGUGUGUUUCCCAUCUAGUUGGUAGUGGUUGUUAUCUCUCACUAAGUCCUUGCGACUUACCCCUUCAUCUUCUAUUUUUUUUCAGAUUCAAAGUCGGCUGGGUAGGGGUUUCUAACAGAUAUUGAGAGUCGUCGGUAUCAUUCUUUUGGUAGGCUUCCUUGAUGAAAUGUUACUUUGUAUAUGUAUAUUUUGAGUUGAUCGAAUAUCUGCAGCUAUCUUGAGUCUAGGAAUCUUUUGUGUUGAAAUGUAUAAAUUUAAACGUAUAUUUUGAAACUUCUGACUUAAUGAUGUAUAUGCUGUAAACAGGAUUUAUUUUGAUUUGGAAAUAUUAUAUUUAUUGUUUGUUAAAUUCGGUCAUUAGGCUUGUCAGACUAGUAUUAGUUCGUGCGCCGGUCACGAUUGGAAUUGGGUCGUGACAAAGUUGGUAUCAGAGC